GGCUGGGUGGUGUAGUGGUAGCAUACCCCCAGCACAGAUAGGAGAACCCAGGUUCAAUCCCUGGUCUGGUUA